CUGGCAGUAGUCAGAAGCAUGGAUACUCACCCACAUCUACCUACCACCGUCUGAGUCCCGACCAGACAUUUGCAUCCCAUUUAUGAGCUAAGAGUCUCCCUUGCAGGAGGAGGUGGAGGAGGAACUCAGGGUGGUUCACCCAUGCAGCCCCAUAUAGCCUUGGUGUAGAGCACCAGGAUGUGUGGAGUGCCUGCAUGGGGUAUACAAGCAAUGCUACCAAAAAUCUCUGGUCAAAGGCAUAGGGUGCAGCUGCACCUGAGAUGGAGUGCCCACACGGGGACACAUCUCAAAGAACUCCACUUAAUGAACAAGCUUUUUUCAGUAGAGACUUAAACAUGAAUGCUCUCAGAAAGCUUAUGAACAGAGCUGACUUUCUCAUUUUAUAAAGAGGAUAUAAAAAGGGUCAACGUUCCUGUAGGAGAAUUCUUUUCUGUUGACUUAUGACAAACAUCCUAUCUGGAUGCUGCUUGUUGAAUGCAUCCAGUGAGCUUAAAAAGGCAUUUGCUUUGUUAGCAUGUAUUUUCUUUUUUUAUUAUUCAUAUAAAUGUAUGUACAAAGUAACCUUCAAUGUUGUGGUGACUUUUUAUAAUCCAUAUCUGAAAGCCAUGCAUGGCACUGAAUAUUUUCUUAUUACUAAUGUAAAGCACUUAGUAUCAUGCAAUUGCUGGAUAACUUCAUUGGUUACUAACUAUGCAUUUAUUGUAUGAAUGUUUGGGCACUGUAAAAUUUAAAUUAUAACUUUGCAUGCUAUAACUGAGCAUUACUGAAUGUUUUGUUGUU